rnacentral:rRNA from 1 species
CUACGGGUUGCACCAGUGAGGAAUAUUGGUCAAUGGGCGAGAGCCUGAACCAGCCAAGUCGCGUGGAGGAUGACGCAUUUCGGUGUGUAAACUCCUUUUAUAUGUCAAGAAAAUGACGGUAGCAUAUGAAUAAGCACCGGCUAACUCCGUGCCAGCAGCCGCGGUAAUACGGAGGGUGCAAGCGUUACUCGGAAUCACUGGGCGUAAAGGACGCGUAGGCGGGUUGGAAAGUCAGGUGUGAAAUCCUACAGCUUAACUGUAGAACUGCACUUGAAACUUCUAAUCUAGAGUAUGGGAGGGGGAGAUGGAAUUAGUGGUGUAGGGGUAAAAUCCGUAGAUAUCACUAGGAAUACCUAAAGCGAAGGCGAUCUCCUGGAACAUUACUGACGCUAAGGCGUGAAAGCGUGGGGAGCAAACAGGAUUAGAUACCCCAGUAGUC